rnacentral:rRNA from 1 species
AAGGAUUCCCUCAGUAGCGGCGAGCGAACAGGGAAAAGCCCAGCACCGAAUCCCUCGUCCGGUUCCGGGCGACGGGAAAUGUGGUGUUAGGGAGGGACGAUCUGUCUCGUGUUCGCGCGGCGAGUCCAAGUCCUUCUUGAACGAGGCCACCUCCCGUAGAGGGUGCCAGGCCCGUAGCGACCGCUGCCGAGCGCGAGGCGUUCCCUCCUCAGAGUCGGGUUGCUUGAGAGUGCAGCCCUAAGUGGGUGGUAAACUCCAUCUAAGGCUAAAUAUGACCACGAGACCGAUAGCGAACAAGUACCGUGAGGGAAAGUUGAAAAGAACUUUGAAGAGAGAGUUCAAUAGUACGUGAAACCGUUCAGGGGUAAACCUGAGAAACCCGAAAGGUCGAACGGAGAGAUUCACCGCGGAUCGUUCGUGUCGUUCGAUGUUCGCGCGACCGACGUUCGUUUACGUACGUCGGCGCCUUUCGUCUUACGAACAGCGUUCGAACGCGUGCACUUUUCUCCAAGUAGGACGUCGCGAUCCGUUGGUCGCCGGUCUAAGGCCUGCGGUGCAGCCCGCGCGGGGCGGCUCACGCCGCUUACCCGCUCGGACCCGCAACGUCCCGGCCGGCUCGUCCGACGGUCGAACAGUUGGCGCUGGGCCGCGAAUACAGUUCGCGUCCGGCCCGGGGCAAGCGCGCCGUGCGAUUCGGCGAUCGGGCCAAGUACCGAUCCCGGUCUGCGGCGUCUGUUGGCCCCGGUGCCCUCGGACAGACCCAGUCGAAACGCCGAUCUGCGACGCCGUAGCUUUGGGUACUUUCAGGACCCGUCUUGAAACACGGACCAAGGAGUCUAGCAUGUGCGCGAGUCAUUGGGACACAGCUAAACCCAAAGGCGAAAUGAAAGUGAAGGCGUGCCUCGCGCACGCCGAGGGAAGAUGGGAGUCGCUUCGACGGCACCCCGCAUUCCCGGGGCGUCUCGUUCUCAUCGCGAGAAGAGGCGCACCAAGAGCGUACACGCUGGGACCCGAAAGAUGGUGAACUAUGCCUGGUCAGGACGAAGUCAGGGGAAACCCUGAUGGAGGUCCGUAGCGAUUCUGACGUGCAAAUCGAUCGUCGGAACUGGGUAUAGGGGCGAAAGACUAAUCGAACCAUCUAGUAGCUGGUUCCCUCCGAAGUUUCCCUUAGGAUAGCUGGCGCUCGUCGUGAAGAGUCUCAUCCGGUAAAGCGAAUGAUUAGAGGCAUUGGGGCCGAAACGGCCUCAACCUAUUCUCAAACUUUAAAUGGGUGAGAUCUCCGGCUUGCUCGAACUGUUAAAUGAAGCCGCGAGACUCGGAUCAGAGUGCCAAGUGGGCCAUUUUUG